GUGGGGAAUAUUGCACAAUGGGCGAAAGCCUGAUGCAGCGACGCCGCGUGAGCGAUGAAGUAUUUCGGUACGUAAAGCUCUAUCAGCAGGGAAGAUAAUGACGGUACCUGACUAAGAAGCACCGGCUAAAUACGUGCCAGCAGCCGCGGUAAUACGUAUGGUGCAAGCGUUAUCCGGAUUUACUGGGUGUAAAGGGAGCGUAGGCGGCGUGGUAAGUCAGAAGUGAAAGCCCGGGGCUCAACCCCGGGACUGCUUUUGAAACUAUCAUGCUAGAGUGUCGGAGAGGUAAGUGGAAUUCCUAGUGUAGCGGUGAAAUGCGUAGAUAUUAGGAGGAACACCAGUGGCGAAGGCGGCUUACUGGACGAUAACUGACGCUGAGGCUCGAAAGCGUGGGGAGCAAACAGGAUUAGAUACCCUUGUAGUCC
rnacentral:rRNA from 1 species